ACAUGUGCUCUUAUUCUUAAACACAGUCUGAAUGAACUAAAAAUUAAUCAACAGGACACAUUUAACUUUUUUCUUCAUGCACUACCACCUUUCAGAGAUGCAAAGGACUCGGGGGUAACUGGUUUUUUCAGGGGCAGUCUUUUUAAGGAAAGUUCAGAGCAGACAUCCACAUUUUGUGAAACCACCCACUAUUUUAUAGUGAAUGAGCACCUAGAGCAGGGGAGGAUACAGAACUUUCUAGUAUGAAGGCACCUGUGGCUGAACUAAGGUUCAGAUCUAAGUAGAUUUGACAGUUAACUAACUGCCGACUAUGUAAGAAACAGCUGACUAAACUGGCUCAGCAUAGUUCUGGGUGUGGAAGACUCAGCCUAGGGAGGAUUGUCACCAGAAUGGUGUGAAAAGGACAUGAAGAAGGAAGGCUCGCUUCUGUUUCUUCACAGGAGCUCCAGUCUUCACCUUUAUCUUGAAGGUCAUCUCCUGGUUUCCAGCACAGACUCUUCAGCCUCCUCAUAGGGACUCACACGGGACACAACGCUGAGCCCCAGGCCUUCGACGGGAUCCUCCGGAGCUCCACUGUGCAGACAGACCUUUUGUGUUCUUCUACACCUGACUCUGUGGUGGCCACUGAACUCCAUACAUCGAGCCAACAGCACCUUCCAACUGCACCACUGCCAGUGCCUUCCUGUGAGUUCUCUGCUCCUGCCUUUCCCUUCUCAGUCCUUCCUCCAUGCAGCAACAACAGUGAUCACAAUUUAGAUAUGACGUCGUUGCUGGAAUGCUCAGUAGAAGUGACAUUAAUUCUGCACAGAAAACUACGGAGAUGCUCCUAUGGACUCAACUGAAUUUCAACAAUAACUUCGAGUUUUGCGUAUUGGAUAUCAUGAGGUGAACUUUCUUCUCUGCUCCUCAACCAUGCUCUCCUGCCUUGAAAGCCAGAGGACUAUGGACUGAAACCUCUACAAAGUAUAAGCCAAAAUAAACCUCUUCCCUUUAAUUUGCCAGUGUUGGGUAUUGUGUCUUGAUGAUAAGAAAGUAAGUCAGACAACAUAUAUAAAUGUCAAGUCACGCAAGUAGGUAUAAAUAAC